GGAUUCCAAUGCAAAAAAUGUAACACUACUACUCUCUCUCCCACACCCACAUAUUGUUGUUUCUUUAUCCAGUCGUCUCUCUCAUUUUACUCUUUUCUGUCAUUCCCUUCUCCUCUCUCUUCACCUUCUGUGUGAUUUCGAAGGUAAGUGAAGAAGGACCCUUCUCUUUAUGCGUGUCCCGUCCUCCUCUCCAAUCCUCCACCACCACAAAUACAUCAAUGUAAUAUGUAUAGAAAAUCACAAGUAUUAUGGAAGUUACGCUCUGGAAUGACAAGCGCGAGAGAGAAAUGUACGACAAUUUUGCUGAGCUUUAUGCGAUUAUCAAGGCCACUGAGAGACUUGGGAAAGCCUAUGUUAGAGAUAAAAUGACACCACAAGAAUAUGAGAUAGAGUAAAAUGAACAAUUUAAAUAGAAAGAUGCCGUCACAGCUACCAUCUUACAGCAUAAAACUUUUAGUGUAAUAAUUGCUUCAAUACUUGUGUCUCAUAACAAUCUUGUGGCCAAAACUUCAGAAAUUAAUUUUGUUCCAGGUUGAUAUUCUGAUACUGCUAGAUUGGUUCAGAGAUUUUUU